CAUUGUUAAUGGGAACAAAAGGAUCCCUAAUGUCCUAGAAGUUAUGAAAAGAAAAGGAAUUCCAGGCUGAUGGGGAAGAUUCUUUUCAAGCAAGAUGGAAGGAAGAAGUUUUGCCAGCAAGCUUAAGUCCCAAUGCAUGGGCAGCCUCUCCCUGCUGUGGGCCUGCCCUGCAGGAAAAGAAUAAGCACAGGAUCCACCAAAACGACGAGAAUGGAGUGUGCUCACUAGUGACUAAUGCCCUAUUUGCUGUCACUGCAGAAUGCUGCCCUUCACCACAGCAGUUCCCUUAUAGCUAUGGUGACUUACCUACAAAAUAAAAACUCUCUUGAAUCAUCUGUGAUAAUUGUACUUUGGCCAGUUGAAUCCUUUCCUUGACUGAUCUAUACAACACCCUUUAAGAAGGCUUCCUGCAGAAAAGGAUUAGGAAGAAUCAUCAGGAUGAAAAGGCAGACUCCAGACAGGAGUACUGCUUGGUCUUCACCAGACUCAUGGCUCGGAGAGCAAUCUGUUUAUGAUAUGGUAUUUCACAGUCCAGCAAUUGCAUCAUUAAGACAGGAAAAAAAGUAAAGUGCAAAUAUUUCCGUCAGCUUCUGUCAUCUUCCACGAAGUGUUUAUCCAGAGAUAAGUCUUUCCAGUGGACAUCUGAGAGGCGUUCAGAUGUGCCUGAGAGUUGAAGCCUUGGAGAUGCACCUGCAGGAUUCUACAAAGGCAGAGCACAAGCAAGUUCAUAUACUGUUCGUCUAUUUUGCUGAAUGUGUGGAGGUCAUGAAAGGAUCUUAAGUCCAAAGAUGAGAAGAUCUGUAGAUUUUCGAAAUGUAAAGAAGAUAUGGACACCCAGAAGAGGAGGCCAUUUGAAGACAGAGAGUCAAGUAACGAGACCAUAAGACAAAGGAGCUGCAAACAAUGAAAGUGAAAAGAAUUAAAGAAACAGAUUUCCACCCAGAGCCUCCAUAGGGGAUGUGAUGCUGUUGACAUUGGGAUUUCAGACUUCCUUUCUCCAGACAGAGCCCUCUUAACAAGACAGACGCCUGUUGAGCAGGGAAGGAGCACGCCCAUCUUGCUGCCCCCCCAACGAUAAAAUAAAACUCCAUUUCAAACGUAAAACCCAUCAACAACUCCUUUAACCAAGUUUACUCUUAGUGCUAUAAGAGCUAAUCAAAAGCUUUUUACAAAAACUAUACUUUAUCAGCUGGUUAUACAAUUCUCUGGAAGUAGAGACCCACACACACUUGAAAGAGAGGAUGUACACUUGUAAGCUUAAUUUUUUUCUCACUUAGCACACACAACUACUUUACCGUAUUAUCCAGCUAGCUCUGUGGUCCAGCCCUACUCUCAUCCUUUCUUGUCUCAGAAUACAUCUAAGGAUCGAGAUGGAAAAAAAAGAACGAGGGGUGAUAUA